UACAGAGGGUGCGAGCGUUAAUCGGAAUUACUGGGCGUAAAGCGCGCGUAGGCGGCUUUGCAAGUCGGGUGUGAAAUCCCCAAGCUUAACUUGGGAACUGCAUUCGAGACUGCAUUGCUAGAGUAUGGGAGAGGGAAGUGGAAUUUCCGGUGUAGCGGUGAAAUGCGUAGAUAUCGGAAGGAACACCGGUGGCGAAGGCGGCAUCCUGGACCAACACUGACGCUGAGUGAGCGAAAGCCAGGGGAGCAAACGGG
rnacentral:rRNA from 1 species